rnacentral:misc_RNA from 1 species
UUUGUUUUUAUAUUUCGUUACAUACUUUGACUAAUGUUUAAAAUAAGCCGCAGAUGUCUAGAGAGCCUCCUUGCAAGCAAGUUUGCCCAAUAUCCUUCCGCCAAAUGAGUGCACAGAGUUAGAAAGUGGAGGUCAGGCUCUAUCGAGUAGAUGCCCUAAAAUUCACUAAUGAUCCUUCCGCAGGUUCACCUACGGAAA